UACAGAGGUCUCAAGCGUUUGUUCGGAUUCAUUGGGCGUAAAGGGUGCGUAGGCGGCGCGGUAAGUCGGGUGUGAAAUCUCGGAGCUUAACUCCGAAACUGCAUUCGAUACUGCCGUGCUUGAGGACUGGAGAGGAGACUGGAAUUUACGGUGUAGCGGUGAAAUGCGUAGAUAUCGUAAGGAAGACCAGUGGCGAAGGCGGGUCUCUGGACAGUUCCUGACGCUGAGGCACGAAGGUCAGGGGAGCGAAACGGG
rnacentral:rRNA from 1 species